rnacentral:tRNA from 1 species
CGUGCGGUAGCUUAAGCGGAUAGAGUGCGCCCGCCUUAAGCGGGACAGGAGAUCAGAAGCCUUUGACCCGAGGUGCGGGUUCGAGUCCCGCCCGCACGC